AUGUCUUUUUUUAAAGAAAUGCCUUUCCCAUUAGCUUGAACUCCAUGUUAUGCAGAAAGCAUGAUGGCCUGUAAUAUCUGCAAAAACCUGUGCUGUUGCAGCUCAUUUGCAGUUACUCAUGAUGGAGAAGAUCAAGGUGUUGAAACUGUUGGAAAUGGUGAUUCCUUGGAUGAACAGGAGUAUAGACGUAGAAUUGAACUCGAAGCAGAGGAAAGAAAGCUUGAAGAAACUUUGGAAUAUCAAAGACGAAUGGAGAAUGAGGCUAAACUGAAGCAUCUGCCCGAGCAAAAUAAGAGAAUCACAAAAGCAGUUUCAGGAAGUAUGGAUGCAAUUAUGAAGUCUGAUAUUUACAAGCACAGUGAUAAUGGUCAAAAAAUCACUGGAGAAUGAGGCUAAACUGAAGCAUCUGGCUGAGCAAAAUAAGAGAACCACAAAAGCAGUUUCAGUAAGCAUGGAUGCAAUUAUGAAGUCUGAUAUUUACAAGCACAGUGAUAAUCGUCAAGAAAUCAAUGAGCAAUGGAAGAGUAGUAAGAAGGUCAAUACUCCUAUGCUUGGAUUCUCCUAUCUGUGUGAGAAUUUCCCGUUCUAUUCUCCAUUCUGUAAAAUGAAAGUCAUUGAAUGUUAGGUGUUACUCUUGAAGGAUAUGCUUCUCUAAAUUUUAGGACGAAUUAAUUGAUCGUAAUAUAUGUCUUGCUAAUUUUGGAAUCCUUGGUGCAGAAGAAUGGAUUUCCAGACAGUUUAGAAGUCCCAAAGCACAGUGCUGAAGGAAUGACACAAAAUACUGGUAAGGCCCUUGGUCAUUGUCAGGAACAAUUUGUGCCAGCUAAAAGAACCCCUUGGCCAUACAGUGCCACUGUUAGGAUGUCACAUGAAUUUUAUAUACCUUUUUUUUUCUCUCGCUCAGGACUGUCAAAUGAAGGAAUUCCGGAGGAUAGUACCCUGAUAUCUGCCCGACGCUCCGGAAGGAGAGGCAGACGUCAGAGAGAUUCUAAGCUUAUUGAUGGGAAGUUUCAGUCUGCUUCUGCCGAAAGGGAAAAUACUGAAGUUGG
rnacentral:lncRNA from 1 species